rfam:Ciona savignyi cont_60720, whole genome shotgun sequence.
UAAACGGCUCUUUUAAAAGCCACCAAACUUUAAAAAUGGGAAAUACU